CGGCGAUGCCUCCUGCCCGAUACCCACGGGGGCACUCGAUCAUGCUGUGGGAUACAAACGUGUACUCCUUAGACACUUCGGUUGUCAAUAGUGUGGUGUGAGGGUGGGUUAGAUGCCCA
rfam:Bacillus selenatarsenatis SF-1 DNA, contig: BSSF00113.